CUGCUAAGUCGCAAGACGAUGUAUAGGAGCUGACGCCUGCCCGGUGCUGGAAGGUUAAGGGGAUCUGUUAGAGUAAUCGAAGCAGUGAACUUAAGCCCCAGUAAACGGCGGCCGUAACUAUACCGGUCCUAAGGUAGCGAAAUUCCUUGUCGGGUAAGUUCCGACCCGCACGAAAGGCGUAACGAUUUGGGCACUGUCUCAACAACAGACUCGGUGAAAUUGUAAUUCCGGUGAAGAUGCCGGAUACCUGCGACAGGACGGAAAGACCCCAUGGAGCUUUACUGUAGCUUGACUUUGGGU
rnacentral:rRNA from 1 species